ACUGCCCCUAGAGGCAUUGCAGUGCAGCUGUUAGUAGGGCAUUAGGUGGCAGAGGGUCAGUGGGCUUCAUCUGCACCAGCUACCUGCUCAGGUUGCUCAGGUUGAUUGCAGCACCAGCAAA
ensembl:snoRNA small nucleolar RNA SNORA17